rnacentral:lncRNA from 1 species
GAGGAAAGCCCUCCUCAACAGACACAGUCCGUGCUUUGUAAAGAACUGGUGGAUCCCCUGGGAAGAGCUUCCUAGAGAAGCUGUUGAUUGGUGAGCUGGGUAUAAAAGACAGGCGUUUAACAUGCUGGAGAGGAACAGGCGCACCCACAGCAUGAAUCUACGUGAGCCUCAGAUAGGUUAAACAGAAGACAUAAAUGAAUGUGUAUGGGCUGUAAGCAAGAGAUGAGAUCACCAGGGACCCCACAAACCUGCAGGUGCAAGUUGUAGGCUGAACAGCUGAGAACUAGCUUAGCAACACGGAGUCUGACAGGGUUAGGUGAGCCCAGAUCAGCUCCAGGGCUCUGGAGCCUGCUUUCGGCCUGCAGCUCCAACCUGGAUCCCACAUGUUCAGAAGCAGUAGUUAGGGGAUGGGGCUCGUAAGUCCUCCUGGGAACUGAGGGGAGGCACUAGGAAUGAAGCAUAAAUGGUUCUUUGAUCCCAAGUGCCCUUUCCCAUCAGCUGUCUGUUAAGAUAAGGAUACAAAAUGACAGAUGUGAUUGGUUGUGGCAGGCCUCAGUAAGGGCUGAGAUAAGAAAAUCCAGCUUUUAAGGAUUUUCUGGUACCAGGAUGAAUUUGAGGAUAACUCUUAAAGUGUUAAACUUUUUCCCCUUUCAUUUUGAAGAGAGUUAAACUAUCCAUCAUGUGUCUCUCAGAGCCUAUAAAAUGUUGCCAGCAUUAUUGUGAAGCAAAGCUGGUUAGAGUGAAUCAGCUUAGACACUGAACUAUUAUUAAAUGCAAGGGACUUUAAGCAGCAAAAAAAACAAUAUGCUGUAUUUUAAAGAAACCGAUUCCCCUUUAUACAACAAAGCCAACACUGUGGCCAUCAUUAUUGUUCUUGCUUUAUAUGUUAUUACCUAAAACUUCUCUGUAUAAUAGGAAGCCUUUUCUGGGUGUAUGUGCCUUGCUGGUAUAUAUUUUUGAGCUAUACCUUUAAUAAACACUAGGCGAUUGUGACUGUUAUAAUUGAGGAAGAUCAUUGUGAUUAUUAAUAAGAGAAAAUUCUUCUCAAAACCUCUGAAAUAAGGAAGGAAGGAAAAUAGUAUUUGAUCAAAUAUACUUCACUCUAAGGUUCACAUGUUGUCUUUUCCAAUUAGGACCUACCAGGGGUAGAUAGGCUAAGAGUUCGGGGGUUAAGGCUGAUGACUGACAGUUAGUGAAUAAAGAGGACAUGUAUUUGAAAAGAAGCAAGAAGCAGUAGAUGACAGGGUUUCAGAGGAGAGAAAGGGGAGAGCAAUUGUAUUAUAAUCUCAUAAGCAAGAGAAAUUAUUAAAAACCAAAGAAAGUGCUUGCUGAGCCACCUUGAGGACCAGUGUUUAGACCCCACAUAACAAGCUGAGAGUCCUACUAAGAACUGUGAUCCAAUACCCUCCUCUGGCCUCCCAUACUAUGAUGAGCUCAUACACUCUCUGUCUCUGUCUCUGUCUCUCUCUGUGUCUCUCUUUCUCUGUCUGUCUCUCUCUCUCUCUGUCUGUCUGUCUCUCUCUCUGUCUCUUUCUCUGUCUCUCUUCUCUCUUUUUCUGUACCUCUCUCUAUUUCUCUCAUACAUACACAAAUAAAUAAAUAAUUUAAAAAAGGAACUACUACUCACAUCUGUGCCCAACUAAUGUGAUAUUGUACUGAAUUAUUCAUUUUAAUGCUUCCUAAGGCUGGCGAGAUGGCUCAGCUGGUAAAGACUAUUGCCACUAAGCCUGACCAGGUUCGACCCCUACCAGCUCCCAAGGGGUGGCCUCUAACUUACAGCAUGGCACACACACAAAAUAAAUAAGUGUGAUUAAAAAUAUAGCUUCCUAAAUCUCUUCUACGUGUACUUAGUCAGCAUGUUAUUGUCCUAAUGGGUAAUUGUUUUAACUCCAUUAAAAUAAUGACUCUCAUUUGUAUUAUUUUUCACAUGUACAAUAUCAUUUAGUCUCAAAAAAAAUGCAAACGUCUCAAAAUGAUCUCCAUUUAUGGAUAAGAACACCAGUGUUUAGAAAGAUCUGGUUAUGUGCCUGAGGUCUCUCAGCUGUCAACAGCAAAUCCGAGACUCCAGCUGAAGUUACCUGUUACAUAAAUAUUCUAAUUAAAAAAGGAAACCAGGGCAUUUUGAAAAAUUCUUCAAGGAAAAGAAAAUAUUCCGAGUAACCUAGAAAAGGCUAUCCAAUGGCUACUUCAUCAAUCACGGCAAGGACACUUAACAGGAAGGAAACCUGAGGAGAGUGGGGCCACCUUGGGGCUGGUCUAAGCAGAUCCAAAAGAAACACGCACUCAGCUCCUUAAAACCCCACAGCUUAACCGAAGCGGCCUCCCGGGAAGCAGCACAAGGAGAGGCGCGCGCAUAGCAUCUUCCAUCUUCCCCCGCGCUGGUGCUACUGGCCAACCGCACGCCACCUUCCGCCUUCAUUGCUUCCCUUGGUCACUGCAUAAACCUUCCUACUACGAAUUGAAUCGUUUUAGUCUUUCAGCUGCGCCUGAGCAGUUACUUCUGUCAACACAGGGAUAGGAGGCAGAACAGACUUUCAAGGUUGAAAAUUAAAAUAAAGCGAGUGGGUGUGCAUGC